UCCCAAGGAGAUUUCUUCUCCUGGGAUAAAUCAUAUACCCCAGGAAUGUAGCCCCUUGGAAAAAUAUCUGGUACUCUUGAGAAUGUUAUAGUAGAUGAUUGAUAUGUUAUUUUUGCUCUCCUUAAAUUGUAAGUAUAC